GGAGAGGUGCCUGAGAGGCCGAAAGGAGCCGCCUGCUAAGCGGUUGUCCCUCACAAGGGGACCCGGGGUUCGAAUCCCCGCCUCUCCGCCA
rnacentral:tRNA from 1 species